rnacentral:rRNA from 1 species
GAUGAACGCUAGCGGCAGGCUUAAUACAUGCAAGUCGAGGGACAGCACAGGUAGCAAUACUGGGUGGUAACCGGCAAACGGGUGCGGAACACGUACACAACCUUCCUUUAAGUGGGGGAUAGCCCAGAGAAAUUUGGAUUAAUACCCCGUAAUAUAGUUGAAUGGCAUCAUUUGAUUAUUAUAGCUACGGCGCUUAAUGAUGGGCGUGCGGCUGAUUAGAUAGUUGGCGGGGUAACGGCCCACCAAGUCUACGAUCAGUAGCUGAUGUGAGAGCAUGAUCAGCCACACGGGCACUGAGACACGGGCCCGACUCCUACGGGAGGCAGCAGUAAGGAAUAUUGGUCAAUGGACGCAAGUCUGAACCAGCCAUGCCGCGUGAGGGAUUAAGGUCCUCUGGAUUGUAAACUUCUUUUAUUUGGGACGAAAAAGGGCCUUUCUAGGUCAACUGACGGUACCAGAUGAAUAAGCACCGGCUAACUCCGUGCCAGCAGCCGCCGUAAAAC